rnacentral:rRNA from 1 species
GAUGAACGCUAGCUACAGGCUUAACACAUGCAAGUCGAGGGGAAACGGCAUUAAGUGCUUGCACUUUUUGGACGUCGACCGGCGCACGGGUGAGUAACGCGUAUCCAACCUUCCCAUGACUAAGGGAUAACCUGCCGAAAGGCAGACUAAUACCUUAUGGUCUUCACUGACGGCAUCAGAUGUGAAGUAAAGAUUUAUCGGUUAUGGAUGGGGAUGCGUCUGAUUAGCUUGUUGGCGGGGUAACGGCCCACCAAGGCAACGAUCAGUAGGGGUUCUGAGAGGAAGGUCCCCCACAUUGGAACUGAGACACGGUCCAAACUCCUACGGGAGGCAGCAGUGAGGAAUAUUGGUCAAUGGGCGAGAGCCUGAACCAGCCAAGUAGCGUGCAGGAUGACGGCCCUAUGGGUUGUAAACUGCCUUUGUAUGGGGAUAAAGUCAGUCACGUGUGAUUGUUUGCAGGUACCAUACGAAUAAGGACCGGCUAAUUCCGUGCCAGCAGCCGCGGUAAUACGGAAGGUCCGGGCGUUAUCCGGAUUUAUUGGGUUUAAAGGGAGCGUAGGCUGGAGAUUAAGUGUGUUGUGAAAUGUAGACGCUCAACGUCUGACUUGCAGCGCAUACUGGUUUCCUUGAGUACGCACAACGUUGGCGGAAUUCGUCGUGUAGCGGUGAAAUGCUUAGAUAUGACGAAGAACUCCGAUUGCGAAGGCAGCUGACGGGAGCGCAACUGACGCUGAAGCUCGAAGGUGCGGGUAUCGAACAGG